rnacentral:rRNA from 1 species
GACGAACGCUGGCGGCGUGCUUAACACAUGCAAGUCGAACGCGAAAGGGAUCUUCGGAUCCCCGGUAGAGUGGCGCACGGGUGAGUAACGCGUAAAUAAUCUACCCUGGUGUCUGGAAUAAUUAGCCGAAAGGCUGACUAAUACGGGAUAUAUGUUUGCCUGUUGGGGCAAACAGGAAAGGUGGCCUCUAUUUAUAAGCUAUCGCACUGGGAUGAGUUUGCGUACCAUUAGCUAGUUGGUGGGGUAAGAGCCCACCAAGGCGACGAUGGUUAGCGGGUCUGAGAGGGUGAUCGGCCACAUUGGGACUGAGACACGGCCCAGACUCCUACGGGAGGCAGCAGUGGGGAAUAUUGCACAAUGGGGGAAACCCUGAUGCAGCAACGCCGCGUGAGCGAUGAAGGCCUUCGGGUUGUAAAGCUCUGUCUUCGCUGAAGAAUUUUGACGGUAAGCGAGGAGGAAGCCACGGCUAACUACGUGCCAGCAGCCGCUGUAAUAC